rnacentral:rRNA from 1 species
CCUACGGGAGGCAGCAGUGGGGAAUAUUGCGCAAUGGGCGAAAGCCUGACGCAGCGACGCCGCGUGAGGGAUGAAGGUCUUCGGAUCGUAAACCUCUGUUAGCAGGGAAGAACGGUCACUGUGCUAACCAGCCGUGAAUUGACGGUACCUGAAAAGGAAGCAACGGCUAACUCCGUGCCAGCAGCCGCGGUAAUACGGAGGGGGCGAGCGUUAAUCGGAAUUACUGGGCGUAAAGCGCGCGUAGGCGGUUUGUCAAGUCAAGGGUGAAAUCCCCGCGCUCAACCUGGGAACUUCCUUUGAACCUGGCAGACUGGAGUGUGUGAGAGGAUAGUGGAAUUCCAGGUGUAGAGGUGAAAUCCGUAGAUAUCUGGAGGAACACCAGUGGCGAAGGCGGCUCUCUGGCCCGUAACUGACGCUGAGGAGCGAAAGCGUGGGUAGCAAACAGGAUUAGAUACCCCAGUAGUC